UAACUUUAACUUUAUCUUUUUAUGUAUGGUUGAUUGGGUGGUAAUUAUAUGAUUCAAAACUUUUGUGCCCGGGCUUUGAAAAAGAAUAUCCCACAAACAAAAAAACAUUGCUUAAGGCUAACGACUCAUCCACAAUCAAAAUAUUUCCUAAACUCGUCACUAAUAUCACAUAUUCAAGAUUUAACAAUAUGUCCGGUGUUCGAUGGACGUAUUUUCAAUCCUCAAUUGCUGUUGAAUUUGUAAGCAGCCUACCUAAUCAGUAGGCUUUUUUUCCCCUCCUGUGUGACUUUGCAAGGAUGGUGACCUCUUUCUACGAAGACGAAGACUUCGAGUUGAAGACGAAGACGAAGACUUCGAGUUUAGGGCGCAAACUUCCAGCCGUAUUAUGAUUUUUAUUUCUUUUAUUUUGUUUUUUUAAGGCAACGAAUUCCAGUUUUUCCAUUAAAGGCAGAGACUUUCCAAGUCUUUCUAUUUUCCAACUUGUACGUGGCGCAUGCGAUAACCAAGUUGCAGUAUGAGUUUGAUAUUGAUGUGUUUUAAAAAAAAAAUUAUUGAGUGUUUUGGUAA